rnacentral:rRNA from 1 species
CUCGGCGGCAGCCCAGCCCAGCCGGCCAGGCUGGCCGAGGACGAGGCCAUCAUUAUGAGCAGCAGCGGCGGCCGCUUUCCUCCACACACACACACACACCAUUAUUUUCCUCUCCCUCCUCCUGACCACCCACCCACCCACCAGCCACCAAGGCGGCCGAUCUCCCCUCACCGCCACCGCUACCGCCGACGCCGCAGCUCCGGCAGCCGUUCGUCUCGAGGAACUAAAAACAGCUGCAUGGCGGGGGUCCAGGAACGGCAAUACGAAGAGUUCUUUGGUGGGUUUUACUUCGAUGAAGAUGCGUUAAGCAAGGAUAUAUCACUGGAUGGGCUGGACAAGGAACUUGAGGAGCACAAGAACUAUGAUGUGCUAAUAAGUAUUCUAACCAACGGUGAAAAACAGCGUGACAUGGCAACCAUGGUGGAAGGCAACCUAGGCCAUAUUGAACAGGAUCUGAUUCAAGAUUAUAUAAAAGAUAAUGACAGCCUAGUUCUGUUGCAUGAUCAGAUUCAUGACUGUGACAUUGUUUUAUCUCAAAUAGGAUCACUUCUUAGUGGAUUUCAGGUUCACAUUGGUUCUUUAAGCUCGGAACUUAGAAGUCUCCACGAGAAAUCCUUGGACUUGGGUGUGAGGCUGAAGAACCGGAAGUUGGCUGAGACAAAGCUUGCAGCAUUUGUCGAAGAAAUUGUCGCUCCUCCUGGUUUGGUGAAUGCUAUAAUUGAUGGAGAGUUUCUUUUGGCAGGUAAAUGAUGAUUAUAUCAAAAGUCUAAACAUGUUGAGCAAAAAGUUAAGAUUUGCUCAAGUUGAUCCAUUGCUUAAUGCAUCAAAAGCUCUGAAAGAUAUUAAGCAAGAACUGGAAAGGCUUCGGAAAAAGGCACUAUCAAAGGUGUCCGCCUAUGUCAUUGGGAUAUUCUCUUCCAUGAGAAAGCCUGGAACUAAUAUCCAGAUACUUCAACAAAAUUUGCUUCAGAAGUAUAGGCAUCUUGUUCUCUUUCUUAAAGAGCAUGGAAUCGAGAAAUAUAAUGAUGUCUGUGCAGCAUAUGUUGAUAAAAUGAACAAGGUGCUGAGUGAAGAUUUUCGUGUGUACCUAGAAGCAUUGGAGAGUUUGAAGCUAGAUAUUGGUGUAUCCACUGAUGUGAUUGGAUAUGACGCCAAUGUCGUAGACCUUAUACCAAGGGGGAGAGAGCAACUGAGAAAUCAUCGUUUCAUGUUUUCUUUAGGUGAACGAUCAAACAUUUUGAAGGAGAUUGAUCAGCCUGGCUUGGUACCUUGUAUAUCUGAAGCUAAUUCCUUGAAAUACCCAUAUGAAGUUAUUUUUAGGAGCCUACAAAAGCUUCUGAUGGACACUGCUAGCUCUGAGUAUAUUUUUAUCAAAGCAUUCUUUCGCGAUGAGUCGAUGUUUUAUCGAGUUUUUGAAGGACCUGUUGCAGUAAUUGAUGAAAACAUGAAGCUUACUCUUGCAAAUAGUCAUGAUGCAAUAUGCCUGAUGCUCAUGAUCUGCAUAACUAAAAAGCACCAGCUGGUUAUGUCCAACAGGCGGCUUCCUUGUCUAGAUACAUAUUUGGAUAAGGCUCUGAUCUAUCUCUGGCCACGUUUCAAGACAGUGUUUGACAUGUAUAUUCAAAGCUUGUACCAAUGUGAUGCGAAAAUGUUAUGGGUGGAUGGGACCCAUCCACACCACAUUGUAAGGUGCUACAUGGAGUUCACAGCAUCUCUUAUUCAACUUAAUGCUGAAUGUGGAGAUGGUCAGCUUGAUAUGAGCUUGAAAAGGUUGCGGUUAGCUGUUGAUGAUCUACUUGUUAGAUUUGCCGAAAAGUUUGCAACUCAGAAACUGAAACACCUGUUUCUUUUGAAUAAUUGUGACAUGGCCAUCUCUAUCCUGAAGGAAGCUGGUGAAGAAGCAAAAGAACUGCGAAGAUAUUUUGAAGAGAAGCUGGAAAGUAACCUGGUGUCAUUUGUGGAUGAAUUGCUCAUGGAGUAUUUUGGUGAUUUAAUUAAAUUUGUGAAGAACCACAUUUCCGAAGACCUAAUUUCUUACACUGAGUGCCCAAACAUUGCUGAUGUUGAGCCGGUUGUGAAGAACUUCGCCGUGAAGUGGAGAACUGCUCUAGAGCUCAUGCACAAUGAAGUUGUAACUUGUUGCAGUAACUUUGUGUCUGGUAUGGCGAUUCUAAAAGCAGCAAUGGCUCAGUUGCUUAAUGACUACAACAGACUCUCAGAAUGUGUGAAGAUGAUCCCAGGUGGAUCUUCUUUGAACAGGAAUCUGGUUUCUAUCACCUCGAUUUCAUACGAAAUCAGGAAAUAUUCAAGAACACUCUAGUUACUUGAAUAGCAUGGCAGCCACGAACGUAUCCUACGCCUCUGUGUAAUUGAGGCUCAAAUAAAUGAUUGCGGAUGGACUCUCAGGAUCAAAGCUGGAGAGGAACUUGUGCUCUGUCAAGCAAUAAAGAGCUGAAAAAUACAUCAGUGUUGAUAUUUUUUAAUCCCUGUACCAAAUAAUGUCACUUGUAGUUGGAUUUCAACAUUAGGCAAUAGUGCAAAUUAGGAUAUUAUUUAUUUUUUCUUAUAGCUUAUUUUAUUGGAUAUACUAUCGCUGAAAGUUGUGGACAAAAUGAUACUCGUCAAUUAUGUCCUAGUCACAGUUUAUUCCUGAAUUUGUUUUACUUACUGGGGCUGUAGUUAUAUUAGUUUUUCAUGAAGAGAAAUCAUUGUUGUAGGUACAGAUCAAAGUUAAAAUGACGGGUAAGAUUUUAUUAUUAUUAAAUUUGCUCUUCUACUUCAUUAAUAGUAUAAUAGAUUCUCCUGUUUUAAUUAUGAAUUUAUUCCUUUAUGAUUUGGUCACAGGAAAAUGUAAAACAAAAUCU